GAUGAACGCUAGCUACAGGCUUAACACAUGCAAGUCGAGGGGCAGCGGGAUUGAAGCUUGCUUCAAUUGCCGGCGACCGGCGCACGGGUGAGUAACGCGUAUCCAACCUUCCGUACACUCAGGGAUAGCCUUUCGAAAGAAAGAUUAAUACCUGAUGGUAUGAUGAGAUCGCAUGGUAUCAUCAUUAAAGAUUUAUCGGUGUACGAUGGGGAUGCGUUCCAUUAGGCAGUUGGCGGGGUAACGGCCCACCAAACCUACGAUGGAUAGGGGUUCUGAGAGGAAGGUCCCCCACAUUGGAACUGAGACACGGUCCAAACUCCUACGGGAGGCAGCAGUGAGGAAUAUUGGUCAAUGGACGAGAGUCUGAACCAGCCAAGUAGCGUGAAGGAUGACUGCCCUAUGGGUUGUAAACUUCUUUUAUACGGGAAUAAAGUGAGCCACGUGUGGCUUUUUGUAUGUACCGUAUGAAUAAGGAUCGGCUAACUCCGUGCCAGCAG
rnacentral:rRNA from 1 species